GGUGAAGCAGAGCUUGCUCUGUGGAUCAGUGGCGAACGGGUGAGUAACACGUGAGCAAUCUGCCCCUGACUCUGGGAUAAGCGCUGGAAACGGCGUCUAAUACCGGAUACGAGCUGCGACCGCAUGGUCAGUAGCUGGAAAGAAUUUCGGUCAGGGAUGAGCUCGCGGCCUAUCAGCUUGUUGGUGAGGUAAUGGCUCACCAAGGCGUCGACGGGUAGCCGGCCUGAGAGGGUGACCGGCCACACUGGGACUGAGACACGGCCCAGACUCCUACGGGAGGCAGCAGUGGGGAAUAUUGCACAAUGGGCGCAAGCCUGAUGCAGCAACGCCGCGUGAGGGAUGACGGCCUUCGGGUUGUAAACCUCUUUUAGCAGGGAAGAAGCGAAAGUGACGGUACCUGCAGAAAAAGCGCCGGCUAACUACGUGCCAGCAGCCGCGGUAAUACGUAGGGCGCAAGCGUUAUCCGGAAUUAUUGGGCGUAAAGAGCUCGUAGGCGGUCUGUCGCGUCUGCUGUGAAAACCCGAGGCUC
rnacentral:rRNA from 1 species